CACUCUCUAUGCUUACAAUUUUUUUAGUGAGGAGGCUAAGGAGGUGAUCUGAGGAGAAUCAAUAUUGAUUCGUUAAAAUGAAGGGUGUCUCUGGGUGGAGUUGGCCUUAUUGGCACAUCAGGCAUGGGAAGCUCUCCACAUCUUGAUGGCAUCUUUAUUGAUUGAUUGAAGGUGGUUUGCUUGUUAGGUUCAUACCUUCAUCAGAGCUGCUGAGACACACUGGUCGUCUUUUCCUUUUGGGGGAGUCAUCACAGCUCUCAAGUGAAGAUUGCACAGC
ensembl:lncRNA